rnacentral:piRNA from 1 species
UCCAAGUCACACUGCAUCCCUGCCUUGUC